UACGAAGGGGGCUAGCGUUGCUCGGAAUCAUUGGGCGUAAAGCGCACGUAGGCGGUCUGUUAUGUCGGAUGUGAAAGCCCUUGGCUCAACUGAGGAAGUGCAUCCGAAACUGGCAGGCUAGAGUACUAAAGAGGGUCGCGGAAUUCCCGGUGUAGAGGUGAAAUUCGUAGAUAUCGGGAGGAACACCGGUGGCGAAGGCGGCGACCUGGGUAGAUACUGACGCUGAGGUGCGAAAGCGUGUGGAGCAAACAGG
rnacentral:rRNA from 1 species